rnacentral:rRNA from 1 species
UACGUAGGGGGCAAGCGUUGUCCGGAUUUAUUGGGCGUAAAGCGCGUGUAGGCGGCCAGAUAGGUCUGCUGUGAAAACUCGAGGCUCAACCUCGAGACGUCGGCGGAAACCAUCUGGCUAGAGUCCGGAAGAGGAGAGUGGAAUUCCUGGUGUAGCGGUGAAAUGCGCAGAUAUCAGGAAGAACACCCGUGGCGAAGGCGGCUCUCUGGGACGGUACUGACGCUGAGACGCGAAAGCGUGGGGAGCGAACAGG